rnacentral:rRNA from 22 species
UCGGCAACGGAUAUCUCGGCUCUCGCAUCGAUGAAGAACGUAGCGAAAUGCGAUACUUGGUGUGAAUUGCAGAAUCCCGUGAACCAUCGAGUCUUUGAACGCAAGUUGCGCCCUAAGCCUUCUGGCCGAGGGCACGUCUGCCUGGGUGUCACAAAUCGUCGUCCCC